UUUCUGCUGUUCUAUAUUAACUCUCCAAUGCCCUUCAGUUGCAUCACCACUUCAAUUUCUCUCAACAUUAAUACUCUGCCGCUUGACCUGCAAGUUUGGUGGAGAAGUAGAAGCAUGGUGCUCUAUGGAGGCCGUCGUCCGGGAAGAAGCAUGGUGCGUCUAUGGAGGCCGUCGUCCGGGAAGAAGCAUGGUGCGUCUUGGAGGCCGUCGUCCAGGAACCUGCAGAAGCAUGGUGCGUCCACCCUUAUCUCAAAUUCCAAGACACUUUCGGGACCGUCGACCUCGAGCAGACCUGGAGGAGAACGGAGCAGAUCUGAAGGAGAACGAAGUAGAUCUGGAGGAGAACGGACCAGAUCUGAAGGAGAACGAAGCAUAUCUGGAGGAGAACGGAGUAGAUCUGGAGGAGAAUGGAGCAGAUCUGGUACGUAUCAUCCUCCGAGGUCAGCAGGUCCGCAGCGUCGCCAAGUAUGGUUGUCCUUUCAGCGUCGCAAAGUAUGGUUUGAGGUCCCAGGUUCCACCGCCGUUGCCAUAGCCACUGCUCCGUCGCCACCAGCAGUCGCCGUUGAAGUCGCCAAGUAUUUUGAGUUUCUGUUUCAGUUUCUACAAGUGUUUCCGUCAAGCGGCGCCCCAAACAUUCAUCAUCAGCCAGGCGAACAGAAGACGGGAAAACAACAGAUCCGACGUCCUCCAUGUCUGGCGUGACUGUUUUCUGGCAGAACAAAGUAGAUACGGCGGUAGGUCGGCUUGGUGGUUUGUUUUCCGGGCGAGUGGAGCAGCUCUGACAGGUAGUCAGUUUUCCUCCGGUGACCUUAACCCCUUCUCCGACAGUGGAGCUCUUCCGGCGUUGCAGUUUGGACGGCGGGAAUGAAGCCUGGUGUGCUUUGAUAUGUCCCAGUCUGUGACAGUAAUAACAUCUUAUUCUUCUUCGGUGUUGAAAGUGGUGUUGAAAGUGAUGUUGUGACACUUCUGGACUUUCGUUUGCAAGACUUUCUCUAGAAGCUGGGUCUGGUACUUUGGUCUUUGAAUAUGUUGCACAUUCAGACUGAAUGUGUCCAAAUCCUUUGCACUUAUAACAUUGUAUUCCUUCAAGCUUUCUUGUGCUGCAGCAUCUCAAGUUCAUAUGUUUGAAGAUUUCUCAUUAAAUCACUGAGUUUGCAGGUUCAGGGAUGGGUUCCCCUAGGUUGAAUGCAUCCACAGUAAUCCCUAACACUCUUGUAUUAAAUUGAGUGAUAUCUUCAUCCUACUCUUUAAGUUCUCAAAUUGAGUUUGAAUCAUUUGUAGCUUGGAUUGCUUAACAGAUGUAUUUCCUUCGUGAUGAUCACAUAAUAUAUCUCAUGCAAUCUUUGCUAUACUAGUGGUGGCGAUUAGUUUGAAGGUUUCUUCACUCACGGCUCCAUAGAUGGCAUUCAUGGCUUUUGAAUUCUGAUUAUAUUCCCUUCGUUCUUCUUCACUCUCGUCUGUUUUAGGUUAUUGAUUACCUUUAUCAUCAACUGGAUUUUUCCAUUCUUUCUCAACGGCUCCCCAGACUCCUUCACCUUGUGCUAAUAUGUAUAUUUUCAUCCUAGCUUUCCAGUAAGAGAAAUUUGUACCAAUUAGGGCAGGGGGCCUGGUGUUUGACAGUCCUUCAAUUCUUUCCUGAAAUUACACAAUAGAAUUAUCUUUCCUACCAAAAUAUUGUAACCUAAACACAUGUACUACUUUCUAGGGAAAUUUAGAAUACUCUCAAAAACUCUUAGGCCUCACAGAAUAAGCUAGGGAAUUCACAAGUUCUGGUGAUCGGAUGGGAGGUCUUUAUAUAGCUAAUUAAUCUUUAUACACCCAUAGAAGAAUUAUUCCUACUUUGUUUA